rnacentral:rRNA from 1 species
AGUGAACGCUGGCGGUAGGCCUAACACAUGCAAGUCGAACGGCAGCACAGUAAGAGCUUGCUCUUACGGGUGGCGAGUGGCGGACGGGUGAGGAAUACAUCGGAAUCUACUUUUUCGUGGGGGAUAACGUAGGGAAACUUACGCUAAUACCGCAUACGACCUACGGGUGAAAGCAGGGGAUCUUCGGACCUUGCGCGAUUGAAUGAGCCGAUGUCGGAUUAGCUAGUUGGCGGGGUAAAGGCCCACCAAGGCGACGAUCCGUAGCUGGUCUGAGAGGAUGAUCAGCCACACUGGAACUGAGACACGGUCCAGACUCAGACGGGAGGCAGCAGUGGGGAAUAUUGGACAAUGGGCGCAAGCCUGAUCCAGCCAUACCGCGUGGGUGAAGAAGGCCUUCGGGUUGUAAAGCCCUUUUGUUGGGAAAGAAAAGCGGCAGGUUAAUACCCCGCUGUUCUGACGGUACCCAAAGAAUAAGCACCGGCUAACUUCGU